AUAUAUAUUAACCACCCGCUGAAAUUCAAUGCAAGCAAUUUUGAGCUGAAAUUUCUGCAUCAUUUGCGCUGAAAGCUGGGGUCGUGCUGUGAAACAUCAAAGAACUCACCUGUUCAACUUACCUGUUGGGGGUUCCCUGCCUUUAAGAGUACAACAUAGAGGCGCAAAUGUAAGCCCCAAUAAAACAAGCCCCUGGCCGGAAGUUCAGACCCUCUUCAGACCCGCUCGCAGGAUGAGUCUGCUGCUAGAUUGACCAGCGUGCUGAAAAAUUUGGUGACCACCAUUUGCAAUAAAAUUCUGCUGCAGCCGUGCGCCGAAAAAUUCAGCGGCCACCAUGCGCUGAAUUUGGCGCAUGCGAAAUUGCGCCAGGCUGAGACUUGUGCUGAAAUUUUUGGCGCAAUUCUGCCAUUACGCCAAACAUAUUUGGUGUAUUUUUUUCAGUCUGGGCGUGGCCCAUCCAGAGCAGCUCUGCGCUCCAAGGUCCUGUGGUGGUGAGCGUCUCGCCUCACCAGAGGUGGACUGGCGAUGGUAGCCAAGAUGCCAGCUUUCAAACACCAGGUGCCAGAAUCAAUGCGUCUCCGGAAUGGCGCGACAGAAAGUCCGGCCCGCCUACGAGCUGCUGUCUGCUUCGUGCGGUCUGGCCGCACAGACGUACUCGGUACAUGCCCGGAAAGGAGAAAGAGACAGCCUUCCUCUUCACCAUUGACAGCGGCAUGGGCGUCCUCAACAGCUCGGCCAUCCGAGGGACGCCAAAACACUGCGGAGAGGCUGCUCCGGUACUCCCGGGCAGGAGGACGCCCUCUCUAAGCUGGUGGAAGAGGUGGAGGGACUGCGCUUCGGCUCAGCUGGUCACCUCCUCCCGUUCCAGAAGGGUCUAGUAGUGACAGUGAAGGUGGAGCGGGGUCUGCUCGCUGACGUGCUCGCUACCCUACCGGCUUUCCCAGAACCGGCUGUAGGGCUCGUUCAGCCACAUCCGCGGCUCUGGCGGCGGAAGCCCCAACCCCACGACGACAGAGGUGAAGGGGCGCCUCCGCCUGUUCACUCUGAUCCAGCUUGCGCGUCACGGGCCCACGGCGUGCAGAUUAAGAGUCGCUCACCCGCGGCGCUCCCGGUACCAGCAGCGGAGGCGGAGGCGGGGGCAGAGCCGGAGGCAGAUGAGGAUCAAGCCGACCAGGCGCAGAUGGUGGUGCAGGAGGCGGUAUACCCUGAGCCGCCCCAAGAAGUUCCUGAGGGGACGGAGAGCCUGGAGCCCGUUCCUGACGAGCCAGCCCCGGACGCAGAGGAGGAGGCGGAGCAGGAGAGGGCGCAGCUACUGCGGGAGGCCGAGACAGUGCAUAUACCGCCUGCGCCCUCAGCGGCGCUGGACGCUGAGACUGGUGUGCCGGCCACCGAAGGUGCAAUGGCGCAUCUGGCCGGCUACAUCGCCAGAAAAUGCGGCCCCAGUUUCGGCGCGCUGGCGAUGGCAUCUGAGGACGCGCCAGUUCAGACGCUCUGGACUCGACUGCGCAGCGCGGCCGGCGGACUCACGAUCCCCUCCCAGCUCUGCUUAGACCUGUUAAAUCAGCUCGAGGCGGAGUUCAUAUAUGUUUCACGUGUUCGCUAAAGUGUCUUGAAAAUGCUCAAAUGUGUGCCAUUCGUGAUUUGCCUGAUGAUGCAGUGCAAGUACUGUGAAACGCGUUGCAGUUAAUAUAGCUGAUGAUAUGUAAAUGCAGUCUACAUCCAUAUCGUGCUCAAAUAAUGUAGCGCACAAGCUACCCUGAGGUAGGCUUUGAAUUCACCGAAUUUUCCAGUCGACCGUUCAGAUGGAAAUCAACUUGAGUACCCUGGUAUGCUGAGUAUGUUUUCGUAGUGUUACAUAGCGUACCGUCGGACAGAAUGGAGCUAUGCUGCUGUGACAUUCAUCGAACCUCCCGUUUGAUAUUGGUUGCAUACUGUGCAAUGUGCAUGUGUGCACUUUCACAUAUCGUGUUAUCUGAAAUUGAAUCGACCUAUGCCGCUGUGCCGCUGCCUGGGUUGCCGGCGACAGCGGCGGAGCGCAUCUGAUCGGCACAAUGUUACAGAUCAGGAUCCGUCCUGUCUGGAGGUAAUCGGACCGGUGUUUGUCUAGCCAGAUGUCCUCCAUCGUAUCACUGAUAUUCAUCUGUAAGGCUGUGCUCUUGCCUAAUGCAGCUUCCAUCCAUUCAGUCAGUUUUGAAUUGUAAUAGAGGAAGCCAGAUGUCAUAGAUGUCUUCGUUUAAGGGAUUGUUUUCGCAUGUCAUGCAUCGGAAAUACAAUCAAAAUAGAAUUAAUUGAUGAUCAGCUAUGCAACCGCAAAUCAGCAGCAUCGAAUCUAUGUACAGCAUUGUUAUGCACUUCUAUAACCGAAGUGAUCCGACGAAACACCAGCGACCCUCAGCCAAAAUAUACAUUAUAUGCCCUGGAACCACAA